AUACUUGCCUGACAAGGGCAACAGCAUGAUCAGGAAGAUGGUUUUCUUGUGGUGUUUCAUCUAUUACCAUGUGGGUGUGCAUGACCCUUGAGGUUUAACCAGAAGUAGGAAACAUGACUGCAUAAUUUUGGGGUGGGGAGCACAUUCACACUCCCU
ensembl:snRNA U1 U1 spliceosomal RNA